CCUACGGGAGGCAGCAGUGGGGAAUUUUGGACAAUGGGCGCAAGCCUGAUCCAGCCAUUCCGCGUGAGUGAAGAAGGCCUUCGGGUUGUAAAGCUCUUUCGCAAGGGAAGAAAACUUAGGCUCUAACAUAGCCUGAGGUUGACGGUACCUUGAUAAGAAGCACCGGCUAACUACGUGCCAGCAGCCGCGGUAAUACGUAGGGUGCGAGCGUUAAUCGGAAUUACUGGGCGUAAAGCGUGCGCAGGCGGUUUUGUAAGUCAGAUGUGAAAUCCCCGAGCUCAACUUGGGAACUGCGUUUGAAACUACAAGACUAGAAUAUGUCAGAGGGGGGUAGAAUUCCACGUGUAGCAGUGAAAUGCGUAGAGAUGUGGAGGAAUACCAAUGGCGAAGGCAGCCCCCUGGGAUAAUAUUGACGCUCAUGCACGAAAGCGUGGGGAGCAAACAGGAUUAGAUACCCUGGUAG
rnacentral:rRNA from 1 species